AGAGUUUGAUCCUGGCUCAGGAUGAACGCUAGCUACAGGCUUAACACAUGCAAGUCGAGGGGAAACGGCAUUGAGUGCUUGCACUCUUUGGACGUCGACCGGCGCACGGGUGAGUAACGCGUAUCCAACCUUCCCAUUACUGUGGGAUAACCUGCCGAAAGGCAGACUAAUACCGCAUAGUCUUCGAUGACGGCAUCAGAUUUGAAGUAAAGAUUUAUCGGUAAUGGAUGGGGAUGCGUCUGAUUAGCUUGUUGGCGGGGUAACGGCCCACCAAGGCAACGAUCAGUAGGGGUUCUGAGAGGAAGGUCCCCCACAUUGGAACUGAGACACGGUCCAAACUCCUACGGGAGGCAGCAGUGAGGAAUAUUGGUCAAUGGACGUAAGUCUGAACCAGCCAAGUAGCGUGCAGGAUGACGGCCCUAUGGGUUGUAAACUGCUUUUGUAUGGGGAUAAAGUCAGUCACGUGUGAUUGUUUGCAGGUACCAUACGAAUAAGGACCGGCUAAUUCCGUGCCAGCAGCCGCGGUAAUACGGAAGGUCCAGGCGUUAUCCGGAUUUAUUGGGUUUAAAGGGAGCGUAGGCUGGAUAUUAAGUGUGUUGUGAAAUGUAGACGCUCAACGUCUGACUUGCAGCGCAUACUGGUUUCCUUGAGUACGCACAACGUUGGCGGAAUUCGUCGUGUAGCGGUGAAAUGCUUAGAUAUGACGAAGAACUCCGAUUGCGAAGGCAGCUGACGGGAGCGCAACUGACGCUUAAGCUCGAAGGUGCGGGUAUCAAACAGGAUUAGAUACCCUGGUAGUCCGCACAGUAAACGAUGGAUGCCCGCUGUUGGUACCUGGUAUCAGCGGCUAAGCGAAAGCAUUAAGCAUCCCACCUGGGGAGUACGCCGGCAACGGUGAAACUCAAAGGAAUUGACGGGGGCCCG
rnacentral:rRNA from 1 species